UGAGUGUAGCCUUUGACAACAAGAUGGGCUUUCAAUCGAUCCACAUUCCCAUCUACACUUACUUUCACCAUAUAAACCUAGCGGUAUGCAACAGCAGGUUUACCUUGUGGUAAUGAAACCAAUUCCCAAGUACCAUAAGUAUGAAGAGCAGUCAUUUCUUCUAUCAUGGCAUUUUACCACACUGGAUGUUCCAAUGCUUUUCUAAUAGUCAUUGGUAUAAAAACAUUAGACAAGGUGGAAACAAAUGCAUAAUAGGAUGGUGGUAACAGUGUUAUCAAGGUGAAAGGCGAUAGGGUACUCUAUGGCCUUUCUGCAAGGGCGAGAGGUGAGGUGAGGCUUUUUUGAAGUGAGGCGCCAUAAUCUAAAAUUUGCUAAAUUAUAUUUAGAAAGCAUUU
rnacentral:misc_RNA from 1 species